GAUGAACGCUGGCGGCGUGCCUAAUACAUGCAAGUCGAGCGAACGGACGAGAAGCUUGCUUCUCUGAUGUUAGCGGCGGACGGGUGAGUAACACGUGGAUAACCUACCUAUAAGACUGGGAUAACUUCGGGAAACCGGAGCUAAUACCGGAUAAUAUUUUGAACCGCAUGGUUCAAAAGUGAAAGACGGUCUUGCUGUCACUUAUAGAUGGAUCCGCGCUGCAUUAGCUAGUUGGUAAGGUAACGGCUUACCAAGGCAACGAUGCAUAGCCGACCUGAGAGGGUGAUCGGCCACACUGGACCUGAGACCCGGUCCAGACUCCUACGGGAGGCAGCAGUAGGGAAUCUUCCGCAAUGGGCGAAAGCCUGACGGAGCAACGCCGCGUGAGUGAUGAAGGUCUUCGGAUCGUAAAACUCUGUUAUUAGGGAAGAACAUAUGUGUAAGUAACUGUGCACAUCUUGACGGUACCUAAUCAGAAAGCCACGGCGAACUACGU
rnacentral:rRNA from 1 species